rnacentral:lncRNA from 1 species
GGCCAGCGAGCUCCAAGGUGACGCGGCCACUGAGCGGCUUGGCCGUCCCUUCAGAUCCCACGGUCGGGUCUCCCCUGAGUAAAGGGCUGGGCAGCUUCACUGAGGGCCGUGGGGUAGGGGUGCGGGCAAAAUGGUUGAAGAAAUGGGACAUUUAUCCUGGCAGCUGGCAGACGCUGGGGACAGGUGCACUGGCUUUUCAUUGCAGAAGAGGUGUCCGGGGAGUGAGUUAGCUUCUGUGCACCCCCGGUUCCGCCCCUGAGCCUCGGUCCCCGUGCGUCCUCCACGGCUGUGGCCCUGACCCCAUAGGCCCCGGGGCCCACGGCAGCCUGCCCACUAUCCCUAUUCCCGCCGUGUUUGUCUGCCUGGUGAAUCCCGGGUCGCCGUCCUGAGUUUCUGGAACAGCGGCCUGUUGGGGUGCGGUGCGCCUCUGGCCCCCCGGGUGCGGAAGAAGGGGUGCACCCCCAGGGCCAUGCACAGCGGCGUCCAGGCCCUCCCCCGUCCCUGCCCGAGGCGUCACCCUGGAAGGCUCUUGCAGGACCAAGAGGACCAAGCCCAGGAGCAGGCGCUGCAGCCUGGGCCUCGCUCGCUGCCCCGGGCUCCGCGCACACGGCCCAAGCCUCGGCGUCCGCGCACCGUGCCUGGCACCCCACGAACGCCCCGGCCUCACGCAACUGGCUUCAGGGAGGCUCCCAGGGCUGCAGGCCCGGCAGGUGUGCCGCUCCUGGGCCCGCCUGGACGCCCAGCGCCGAGCUGCCAGCUGAGCCGCCCCGCCGAGCGCCCGCGCAGAAGCCCUCCCCUGCGCCUGCCUCCUGGCGCCCUGCAGCGCCGCGCUGGCAGCUCCUGUGGAUCCCAGCCCCCCCCCCCAUUACGUCCUGUUGCCCCCCCAGCCGAGACUCCUGUGGGAGCCCCCGAGCCCCCCGCAGUUCCCCGGGAGGCCGGCAGCACCAAGCGCAGGCCCCUGCAGGGUGUCGGGCUCUCCCAGGCAGGCGCCGGCCGCGCAACCUGGGCUGUGGAAGGGGCCCCGCGCACCCACUGCCCCGGGGCCUGGGGAACCAGGGGCACAGCUGCUGUCCUCUCGUUCCUCCGGGCCCCACAGGCCAGCGGGUCACCCGUGCGGCGCCCCCACCCCUGCGCACACCUGUCCUUGUGCCUGCUGCGGACCCCUGGCCGGACGAGGCUCCUGAUCCAGUUUCUCUUUUCAAGAUCCGCAGGUGAUUCAAACACGAAAGCUGGAGAUUCGCUGAUGUGUAAGGAUGCCACGGAGCCCCACUCACACAGGCCAUGGCGUGACCGGCACUCCCAGGACCGUGACCACCGGCCCUGCUCAGGCGACUCCUCUUUGGUGUCCUCUCCUGGCCUCCAAAUGGUGACAAGGAUGUCUGGUGCCCGAGUGGGCCUGGCUCAGGCUGGCACGGCCGCGUCUCCUGGCACGUGAGGCGCACUGACGGCUUUUAGGAGAAACAGGAUCCUUAUGUUUGGGAGCUAAAAAGGAUUUCGGGGAAUUCUCUGUUCUCGCAGAUGUCCAAUUUUCACCCUAUUUUCUAGACGAUGACGCGGAUGAAGGAGAGGUGGAAUAGUGGAAUGGAGGGUAGACGAGGGUGCCGGGACUGGAGCCGGGGCCUGUGCGCCCGCUGCCCCCAGCUACACCCCGCCUCCCAGCAUCGAUGCCCAGGCCACUACCCUGUCUUCAGCACCUCCUGGAGAUACACUAGAGGGAACUUAGAUAAAAUCUGCAUCUUCUGGGGAUCACUGGGUGGCUCAGUGGUUUGACGCCUGCCUUUGGCCCAGGGCGUGACCCUGGAGUCCCAGGAUCGAGUCCCACGUCGGGCUCCCGGUGCAUGGAGCCUGCUUCUCCCUCUGCCUGUGUCUCUGCCUCUCUCUCUCUCUCUCUCUAUGUCUAUCAUAAAUAAAUAAAUAAAUCUUUUUUUU